rnacentral:rRNA from 1 species
UACGAGAGGCGCAAACGUUAUUCGGAAUUACUGGGCUUAAAGAGUUCGUAGGCGGCGCAGAAAGUAGGGUGUGAAAGCCCUCGGCUCAACCGAGGAAUUGCGCUCUAAACUACUGUGCUUGAGGGACCUAGAGGUGAGCGGAACUGAUGGUGGAGCGGUGAAAUGCGUAGAUAUCAGGAGGAACACCUGUGGCGAAAGCGGCUCACUGGACCACAACUGACGCUGAGGCGCGAAAGCUAGGGGAGCAAACAGG